rnacentral:rRNA from 1 species
AACGAACGCUGGCGGCGCGCCUAAUACAUGCAAGUCGAGCGAGAGGACGUAGCAAUACGUUUGUAAAGCGGCGAACGGGUGAGGAAUACAUGGGUAACCUACCCUCGAGUGGGGAAUAACUAGCCGAAAGGUUAGCUAAUACCGCGUACGCUCCUUGGACUUCGGUUCAGGGAGGAAAGCGAUACCGUGGGUAUCGCGCUCUUGGAUGGGCCCAUGUCCUAUCAGCUUGUUGGUGAGGUAACGGCUCACCAAGGCUUCGACGGGUAGCUGGUCUGAGAGGACGAUCAGCCACACUGGCACUGCGACACGGGCCAGACUCCUACGGGAGGCAGCAGUAAGGAAUAUUGCGCAAUGGGCGAAAGCCUGACGCAGCGACGCCGCGUGGGGGAUGAAGGUCUCGGAUUGUAAACCCCCUUUCGGGAGGGAAGAUGGAAUGGGGUAACCCAUUCGGACGUACCUCCAGAAGCAGCCACGGCUAACUUCGUGCCAGCAGCCGCCGCGGU